GAGUUCAUCAGUUACAGGAGAACUGUACAACAUUGUAAGAGAGAUCAACAGAGAACUCUAGAAAUGUCUGACCAAGCACAGUGCAAGGGUGUUGAAAAGGAGAAACCAGCAGGCGGAUCCUGUAGGUGUGGACCUGAAUGUAACUGUACAGAACCAGGGGGCAUUUGUAAUUGUGGUAACUGUAAGCGUCCAGUCAAAACCUGCUGCGGGGACACAGAGAAGUGCUGUCAAAACCCUGGCAAAUGUGAAAAAGCUGAUUGCAGCAGCUGCAAAAAGUGACGUCAUGGCUACCAAAUGAGGCAACCAAUGGAGGAAUGUUAAAGGAAAAGGGACAAUAAUUACUUUUUUUAUUAGAAAAAAAAUUUAAUUCAGAACAAUUGAUAAGUGUGUGUCAAUAAAAUUCAGUGUAAGAGCGUUACAUUGGUUUGUGUAUGUAUAAAAUCCAAUUAUUUUAAUAAAAUCUUUCAUCUAUAUAUCAAA